CAGCAGCCUCAUCGGAACCGCGGCGGCCAUGGCAUGUUCGCUCUCCAGGGCGGCACUGAUAAGGCCGGACAUCCGAAGGCCAUCUCGCACACCAUCGUGCCAAUGGCCGUCAUGAGAUCGAUGAGAAACAACGGGUACACACGCCGGCCCAUCUAGAAUGCCUUGUGCAAGCGGUCCCGCCGGUGCUCGGUGGCCAUAUGGCGUGAUGGUGAGCCACCACCAGGGCGCAUCUGCCGGUGCCGACCACAGCCUUACUCCCCCGCUGCGGCGCCAUGAGGAGACGAAGUACUCCGCCUACCGCGACCCAAUCAGCGUCCAGGUCAGUUUUCUCUGGCCAUCACAUGGCCGGUGCGUCCCCACCUCAUUCCCCAUGUUUCCAGUUUACCGUGCAGUUCGCAAAGGAUCCUGUGAAAGGUUUCAUAUGUAUGCCGCUGUUGUGGUUCUCUAAUUUCUUUACAGAAACCAUGUCGCUGCAUUUUUUUUUCAGAUUCUGUUUUUCCCCAAAUUGAUGUGCUGCUAGGUUAUUAGACCGAUGGAAGGAAAAAGAAAAUAGAUUUCGUUAUGCGUGAUUGCUGCAGAAGCCGUGUCAGUAUCCAACCUAGCCAUUAUUUUCAUUGAUGGAUGCCUGUAAUGAUUCUUCCAGUUAUGCAAUUUAUCGACAGUCAUGUGUGAAUCCCGUAAUUCCCGUGUGGCAUACUAAUUACUGUCAAGUGGAGGCAAAUAGUUCAUGGUAUUUUUCAGUUACCUCCGAACAUCCUCUAUAUUUUGCUUACUUACCAUGCCAUGCUCCAUGUUUCCAUUUUCCGAGAACAUGACAUGUCAAAAUGACCAGAAUGCCUUCAAACUGAUUCCAUUAAGUAGUCAAAAUCUUCUUGCUUCAUUCUUUCCAAGAAAGCUGGAUAGAAAGCUCCACCUUUUAUUUAUCUUCUGGCGUAUUUAUUCUCUGAGAACAUAAAAGCAUACAUGCUCAAUCACAUCCAGUACCUUGAUCCAUUUACUACUGAACAUUGUUGUUAACUAACCAAUCCAUAAGUACUACAGGUAUUCUCUCCCUUUACAGGUUUUGAUCAGUUACAUAGGAGACUGUUAGUUCUCCUUGUGGUUGCAUUUCUCCUCAGUUACAAUUACUGGAUUGAACAACAAUGGCUGCUAUAUAUCUAUGGAUUUUUUUAUGAGUUAGUGCACAACUGUGUUCCUAUUUAUCCCAUCCUAUUAUUUACUGUCAAUUUUCACAAAGCAACUGAAGAGAUCAUAAUUGGCAUUUCACAAUAGAGAGAAACUAUAAAUUAUUAAAUGUUACUGAAAAGAAAAUUUGCAAGAGAUCGAUCUACAUUAUCAGGUCUCUUUUAUAACUUCAAUAGGCAAGUGAAAAUUGCUUUACAAGUUUGUAAACAGUGAAGCUAUAAAAACAGUAAAAAGAAAUUGUGUCACCUCUGAUCGACUUUACCUUAAGGGCAUUAUAUACCUGUAGUGUACAUCCAGGAAACUAUUAUGUGUAUGAAAAUGAAUCAUUUUAGUUAGUGUUUAUCUGUAGACUCUGAUUUAAAAUUGGCAUAAUGUAACUUACUACUUAGGAAGUAAAACAUAGACAAAAGGUAGUAACUGGGCUAAGCAAGUAAGGUUGUGUGAAGGAUGAUACUAAUAUCAGAUUCAGUGGCCAGGGGAAAGACAAUGGUACUCAUUUAAAUCAUUUUUGCACGCGGAUAAUUACGAAUCAUACUAUAUCACUACUGUUCCAUUCUAAUGAAAGCUGAGAUAGGGCACUUGUGCAUUAGUUUCUCAUGAUCCACCCAUUUCUGCCUCUUUCGCUUAUUAUAUACCUGUAGUGUACGUCCAGGAAACUAUUAUGUGUAUGGAAAUGAAUCAUUUUAGUUAGUGUUGGCCUGUAGUCUCUGAUUUAAAACUGGCCUAAUCUAACUUACUGCUUAGGAAGUAAAACAUAGACAAAAGGUAGCAACUGGGCUGAGCAGGUAAGGUCGUGUCAAGGAUGAUACUGAUAUCAGAUUCAGUGGCCAGGGGAAAGACAAUGGUACUCAUUUAAAUCAAUUUUGCACGCGGGUAAUUACGAAUUAUACUAUAUAACUACUGUUCCAUUCUAAUGAAAGCUGAGAUAGGCCACUUCUGCAUUAGUUUCUCAUGAUCCACCCAUUUCUCCCUCUUUCGCUUAGUGAUAAGAAUUUUAAAUUAGAAACCAUGUACUUUAAUACCAGUCCUGCAGCUUCCAAGUGUACCGCUUACUACCGCAGCAUUUUUACCAUAGUUGCAUCGAUAAGCAGGAAUGGCCAUAUCAUUUACUUUGUUUUCCUUAUCAAUUAUCAGAUUUUGAACAUAGUUGCAUGGAUAAGCAGGAGAUAUGUCCUGCAGUUGAAAUCCUCAGGUUCGAGCUCAUAUUAGCAACUGAUCUUCUCUCUGUCUCAUUUUGAAAUGAUUAUUAUCAAGGAUGGCCAACUCUUGCCACGUGUGUCCGGCGGCAGCAGCCAGUAUUUAUUCAAGCCUGACACCUCCUAGAGCCCUGGACUCAACAUGGAUCGAUCUGGGCAGUUGUCUUUUUCAUAUCAGGUUUGUACUCUCAUCUGGCUGAACGAAUUGAAGUUGGAGCAUUAAGCAAGCCUCAGUGCAGUUUUCCAACGGUGACCACUUGUGAGUCACUGUGAUGAAUUACCAGCCAAUAUAUCCCAUUUGGGUAUUCCAUUAGAGAACGAGGCAGCAGCACAAGGCACAGACGACGUCACCAGCUGCGAGAGACUAGGGUGCCCUCUCACGAUACUGCAGCAGCUGAAGGCAGGGACGUGACCACGCCACCAGUUUCUACGUCUUCGAGAAGCUGAAGCAGCAGAUCCGCUGUUGCGAGCUUGCAGACGGCGAUGCAACUUCUUUGACGAGCAGCUGGAGCCUCAAAUCCACUCCGACCAUCUUGCGACACGGUAAGAAGGAAACAGUAGGCACGUCGCUGAUUUCUUCAUUCUGAUCCGCGAGCACUUCUGCUCCGGUACUUCACCCUUCGCAAAAUUCUAGCCAUGAUAAAAACAAGAACGGUGGAAAUCAAAUUUGGUUAGGGGGAAGCACUGGAGCAUGGCUCAUCGGCGCAUGCUCAUCGGCAAGAGGCCGAAGCAUCAGGUUCUUGUGCUGAGCCUGCAAGUUUGACCUUUAAUCUCAACCUCCCCAGGCCCCUGCACCAGGCAAGAACACCAUCUUCGAUAGCAAGCCAAGGCUCCAGCUCCCCUCCGCUGGCCUUCCCCCACGAAGAAGAUGUACCGGCCCCAGCAGACCAGUAGAAAGAUGUAUUGGCGCCGGUUGGCCUCCAAUGUGUAAUGUUGUAAAUAUGUAGCCCUGCAGUAUCAUCUGUUGCCCCUCAUAUUGAGACUUAAGUUAAUUUCUAUCAAACAUCUAAA